GAUGAAGAACGCAUCGAAAUGCGAUAAGUAAUGUGAAUUGCAGAAUUCAGUGAAUCAUCGAAUCUUUGAACGCACCUUGCGCCUUUUGGUAUUCCGAAAGGCACACCUGUUUGAGCGUCAUGAAUACCUCAAUCUCCAUCUUUUCUUCGGAUUGAUGGGUGACUUGGAUGUUGAGCCCUGCUGGUAUGCUAUAUCAGCUGGCUUUAAACUUAUUAGCCGGCUCUGUACUGGAUCGGUUUGACUCGACGUGAUAAUAUUAUCGUUGAGGAUGCAUGUCUCAUGCAGCCGGAAAGUAUCAAAGCAGCUUCUAGCUUGCCUUUAGUGCACUUUUACAUUUUAGACCUCAGAUCAGGUGGGACUACCCGCUGAACUUAAGCAUAUCAAUAAGCGGAGGA
rnacentral:misc_RNA from 1 species